AAAGAUUUAACAUUUGUCCAUUUUUUAAAGAUCAAGUUUAUUCUUGGUGUAACUCCAUUCUUACCCAACUGAGGGGAAGCCUUUUAAAGGCCAUCUAGAGGAGAGAAAUCUCAGGUUAUCAGCUGUGACUAGUGUUUUUACUGUGCUGGAAAGAGAACAUAUGAGAACGUGUACAUUUUAAAAUUCAGAUUAACUUUUUAAUUGUACCUGCCAACUCUGUAAAUUCGACCAAGCAAAAGAAGAGUGAGCGGGGCUUCUUUAAAAGAGGGAACAGCCCGCUCCUUGUCGAGUUAGAGCAUCUCUAAGACACUGCCACAUACAUCUAAGUCCCCCUGACAUAUUACUCCCACAUCCUUGUGGGUAGUAAAGUUAAAUUUUAAAAAAUGUUCUUUGAUCUUCCACCCACUGAUCUAGUAGACAUUUAAGUUCAAUACUGCAGCUGGGAGAAAGGGAGGCUGAAAUA
rnacentral:lncRNA from 1 species